rnacentral:tRNA from 1 species
GGCGGGCGUAGCCAAGUGGUAAGGCAGUGGAUUGUGACUCCACUAUUCGCGGGUUCGAACCCCGUCGUUCGCC